rnacentral:rRNA from 1 species
GACGAACGCUGGCGGCGUGCUUAACACAUGCAAGUCGAACGGAAAGGCCCUGCUUUUGUGGGGUGCUCGAGUGGCGAACGGGUGAGUAACACGUGAGUAACCUGCCCUUGACUUUGGGAUAACUUCAGGAAACUGGGGCUAAUACAGGAUAGGAGCUCCUGCUGCAUGGUGGGGGUUGGAAAGUUUCGGCGGUUGGGGCUGGACUCGCUGGUUAUCAGCGUGUUGGUGGGGUAGGUGCUUACCAAGGCUUUGACGGGUAGCCGGCCUGAGAGGGUGAGCGGCCACAUGGGGACUGAGAUACGGCCCAGACUCCUACGGGAGGCAGCAGUGGGGAAUAUUGCGCAAUGGGCGGAAGCCUGAUGCGGCGACGCCGCGUGCGGGAUGACGGCCUUCGGGUUGUAAACCGCUUUCGCCUGUGAUGAAGCGUGAGUGACGGUAAUGGGUAAAGAAGCACCGGCUAACUACGUG